rnacentral:rRNA from 1 species
CCUACGGGGGGCAGCAGUGGGGAAUAUUGCACAAUGGUCGCAAGCCUGAUGCAGCGACUCCGCGUGAGCGAUUAAGGCCUUCGGGUCAUAAAGCUCUUUCCUAAUGGAAGAAUAAUGACGGUACCUUAGGAGGAAUCCCCGGCUAACUACGUGCCAGCAGCCGUGGUAAUACGUAGGGGGCGAGCGUUAUCCGGAAUCACUGGGCGUGAAGGGUGCGUAGGCGGCGCUGCAAGUCAGGAGUGAAAUCCCUCGGCCCAACCGAGGUUAGGUCUUGAAACUGUAGGGCUUGAGUGAAGGAGAGAGGAGCUGACUUAGCAGCAUAGCGGUGAGAUGCCUAUAUAUUAGGUGCAACAACAGCGGCAAAGGCGGCUCUCUGCACCGCAACCGACCCCGCGGCAGGAAUGCGUGGGGAGAGAAAAGGAUUAGAUACCCACUAGCC